AUCAUGAUUUUCCAAGGAGAGCAAGUCUGGCAGAGUGUAAGGUCCCUUUGGAUGUCUUCUGUGCUGUUAUUGCUGUAUCAUAUGGACAGAGAUGUUGAGAGACCCCCUUUGCUUCUGCAAAAAUCCCAGAAAAUGAUGAGAGAACAAGCAGGAAUCGAACUGACUUUUAACUAUCUGUGCAGAGCGAGAGGCGGUGAAGGUGCGAUUCAGCUCUAUGUCACGGAAUCAUGGGAGAACUGUGCAUCCCUUAGUACUCAUAUUGAUGCUUAAAUUGAGCCUUAUGCAUGUGUUUCUGGAACUUACCUCUCUGAAAGAGCGCGUUUUACUGAAAGGAAGCUAACCAAAGUCAAUUGGAGAAAAGCCAAUCCCACGUGAAGUUCUUCAGUCUUUGUUCAGCAGUUUGAGACCCUCUGAUGGAAGGUGGGAAGACAAUUUUUCUGAUCCUUCCUGCACCAAAAUAAUUCCUAGAACUCUAUUUGCUAAAGCCAGGAUCUGGCUUGAGCACUUUCCACUCAGCAGUGUAGAGAAUGGCAGGUUGGCCAUCAUCCCCUGCCCUGUGCCCUCCAGGGGGGAGAAGGCCGCAGGCAGAGAGCGAGGCAAAGGUGGGUUGGAUGGUGUCUGGAAAGAAAGUGAAAGGGUGGGGAAUCACUCUGACUGCUAUGUGCAAUAAACUAAUGUCCUUCUUUCUUCUUCCUUUUCCUGCUCUAGAGAACUGCAUUUGGGGAAAUCAAGAACUGAAUACGUUCCUUUUUUAUUUCUGCUCAUUUUCAGGGGGCAAGUUUUGCAGCUGUACUGAAAUAGCAUGUUAGCAGCCGUAGCGGAUGAUGCAUUCUCCUGUUGGUGUGGCCAGCAGCAGCAGAAGUGAAUUUUCUGGACUUUUGCUUGUGGUUCCAAAGGCUUUUCUCUAGGUGACCGUUCACCCAAAGGUGGGUGAUCCCUUUCCUUCAGUGCCUCUACACUGCCAGCCUUUCAGCGUUUCCCGAGUUGCUGCUGACGUACUUCAAGCUGGGGCUGGGUGACGUGGCAAAUCAUAGAGGUAUCACUAGCAGCACAGCCACGGAUUGAGGUGACCUAGAUUUAGAAAAUGGAGAUCAGAUAAAAUGCUCACUGUGCUCUGUUCUAAGGAGACACGCAGCCAAGAAGCUGAAGUGGAGGAACAAUUUCUCUCUUGAGUUGUUUGAAACAGAAAGAGGCUCAGUCCUUUUCUCCCCGACCUUAAGUGGCUCCGUGACAUGUGCUAGGCUGUGACCUCAUUUGUUUCACCUGUCCUUUCUCUCCCUGUAGUCUCAGGCCCACGGAGAGAUGGACAAGGGGCCAUGAGGGCUUCCCCCCCUCUCCCAAAUAAGAGAGGCAGCUUUCAGAUGAAAAAUCAGUCUGCUUCAUAUUAACCCUCCUUGCUUUGGUUCUGAACGUGAAGAGACAUGUUUCUUACCCCUCCUCCCUUCCCUCCCAAGCCGUCAAUCUUGCUGGGAGAAUCAACCCAUCUCACCUCAUUGUCUGGUUAGUUCUGUGUUGAAGGGGAAUGGGACUGCAGCAUUUGUACGCAUUCUAAAAAGAAAUCUUCUGGACUGUAGAAAUUCUCCCUUUU
ensembl:lncRNA uncharacterized LOC104143511